GUGACCUGGAUUUUACCUUCCUGGCAGCGCGGUACAACAGUCGUGUCAAUCGGUCCUCAUCGUUCUCUGUACCUUCAAAUCUCAAGAACAAAAGCGGAAAAUUUCCUAGAGCAAUCUGAUUGUAGGUCGUCGAGAGCGAUUCCGAAUAGUUAACUUGGGUUGAAGGAUCUUUUUACCGAUAUCCAUUUCCAACGCAAAGGCUGUUUAGUUUAUUAUUCGGUAUAGUUUAGUGGACUCUGUUAUGGGGUUUUCCGAGAUUCUUGGGAUGCACUUUAUUUGGGGGCUAAGAAAGUGGAGUACAAUGGAGGAGUUCGGAAAUUGGCUUUUCGUUUAUGCUGGUUCAACGGCAAUCGUUGAUGCUAAAUUUGUAUCUAUCACUUAGAACGAUUUGAUCAAGCUUAAUGAAUUAGCGUUCUUAUUCAUAUUUGUGAAUCGGAUCUCAGUUUUCUCUUAUCUGCAACAACAGAAAUUGAGGGUUUCUUGGAUUUAGAGACUGGAAAAUGGAUAGUUCAGGUAUGGGAAGUGGAUUUCUGUCGGCAGGUGGGGGUCUAUUAGAUCUGGAGUCUCCCAUCCGAAGACAUCAACAGACCCAAUUGGUCAAUCCCUCUUUGACACACCAUCAUCACUUGAACAGGAUGAGUACUUUUGAAGGUGAUCACCAAUCGAUUGGGAUUGUGGACACGAAAAGUUUCGGACAGAAAGAUUUAUUGACGACCUUCGCAAAAGGGAAAGCUAUUGCCACUGGUAAUGCCACGAACAACAAUAAUACGAGUGAAGAAGAUGAGCCUAGUUUCACAGAGGACGGUGAGUGCUCUGAAUUUUUUAAGGGUAAAAAGGGCUCUCCAUGGCAGAGAAUGAAGUGGACAGAUGACAUUGUAAAGCUUCUCAUAGCCGUGGUUGCUUGUGUGGGUGAUGACGGUGAGGCUGGGAUGGGCUCCAAGAGAAAAUCUGGAAUAUUGCAAAAGAAGGGCAAAUGGAAAACAGUGUCGAAGAUUAUGAUAAGUAAGGGGCGUCAUGUAUCUCCACAGCAGUGUGAGGAUAAGUUCAAUGACUUGAACAAAAGAUACAAGAGAUUGAACGAUAUACUUGGGAGGGGAACCAGUUGUAUGGUUGUGGAGAACCCUGCACUCAUGGAUUCAAUGGCUCAGCUCUCAAAUAAAGCCAAGGAUGAUGUCAGAAAAAUAUUAAGCUCAAAGCACUUGUUUUAUAAGGAAAUGUGUGCUUACCAUAAUGGACAAACAAUUCCUGGUUGCCAGGACCUUGAUUUCCAAGGUAAAAUUUUACCUGUUGCGAAUUUCUCCAAAGGUAAUAAUGAGUCAGAAGAGGCUGAUGAAAGUGACGGUGAGGAUGAUGAGUCAGAUAAUGAAGAUGAUCACUGUCCUGUUGAAAAUGGAUUAUGGGUGGCUGAGUCACGUGGUAGAAAUAAACUGAGUGGAGAUGAUGGUCCUCUGUGGUCAAACUCAGUUGCACAAAAUGAAUUUGAAGGUCAAAUUGAUGUCUUUCUUUCAGAUCCUACGAAGUCCCAAUGGGAGCGCAGAGAUUGGAUUAAAAAACAGAUGCUACAUCUUCAGGAGCAAUCUGUCAGCUUCCAGGCUCAAGCUGUCGAACUUGAGAAACAACGUUUCAAAUGGUUAAGAUAUUGCAGUAAGAAGAGUAGGGAUUUGGAGAGAGCGAGGCUUGAAAAUGAGAGGUUGAAACUAGAUAAUGAGCGGAGAGUACUGCAACUGAAGCAGAAGGAAACGGAAUUGGAAUUCAAAAGGUCUGAUUCAUCCUUGGGUCCAACCCUUGGCAUUGAUAGAAUUCAGGGAAGAGAGCAUAUUGAUUUGGGUAGACAUUGAAAGCACACAAAAAGGUCAUUCAUGUUUUGGACCUGUUGUGAUGCACGAGAUUUUGCUGAUCAUUGUGGAACAAAACCUUUAAGCCAAAUGCAUGUUAGCAUGCUAAACCUUGUAAGCAUGUCACUACUUUUAUGUUAUUUUAGGCUCUCCCUUUUCUUCUUUUUGGCCUUUGGAACUUUCUGCUGUAAAGCUCAAUGAUUAAUGUCAAGUGGUUCAGCUUCCAACAAAGUUUUCGUUCGAAGUGCAUCCAUAGCUUUCUCAAGGAUAUAAAUUUGUGUGGUUAUAUGGAUUUACGUUAACAUGCCAGUCUGGUUGAACUACUUAGUCUGAACUGAAAGACAAUAUCGAAGCCCUUACUCCAUUUGUUGGAUCAUCUCAGAUUCUCAAUUUUGGAGAUCGCAGACCACUAAAGCUAUCAACGAGAGAGAGAGAGGGAGACUUCCAUUGGAAAGUGAUUGGACGACAAAAUCAUGGCGAUGGAUGAACUCCCCUUUCUAGCAAUUCUCUUCUCGGAUGCUCAGCUCAUUCGCUUUAUUGUAAAAGAAAAGCUCUCAAAUUAUGAGCUCUCGAGUCUCAAAUAUGAACCAUACUCAGAAACACAGUUGAGCUGAAGUUAUUUGGAAAUUUCUUCAAUUUUGAGGUGAAUUUAGAGGGAUCCAUUUAAUUUC